CGAGGUCAACCUUUGGAAAAUUGGGGGUUUUACGGCAAGAGUCCCUCCGGAUCCCAGUGCGAGACGUAAAGUUACUACGCAAAGGAGGCUCCGAGAGGGUCCGCCACUACCUUUGAGGGCCUACAUCAGCUGUAGGGCCCCAACACCAAGCAGAGCUUGAGGGUUGAAAUGACGCUCGAACAGGCAUGCCCGCCAGAAUGCUGGCGGGCGCAAUGUGCGUUCAAAGAUUCGAUGAUUCACUGAAUUCUGCAAUUCACAUUACUUAUCGCAUUUCGCUGCGUUCUUCAUCGAUGCCAGAACCAAGAGAUCCGUUGUUAAAAGUUUUGAUUAUUUGCUUGUACCACUCAGAAGAAACGUCGUUAAAUCAGAGUUUGGUUAUCCUCCGGCGGGCGCCGACCCGCCCGGAGGCGGGAGGCCGGGAGGGUCGCGGAGACCCUACCCGCCGAAGCAACAGUUAUAGGUAUGUUCACAAAGGGUUGUAGAGCGUA
rnacentral:misc_RNA from 1 species